UACGGAGGGUGCAAGCGUUGCUCGGAAUUACUGGGCGUAAAGGGCGUGUAGGCGGUUUCGUAUGUCUGGCGUGAAAGCCCCGGGCUCACCUCGGGAAGUGCGUCGGAAACUGCGAGACUAGAGUCCCGGAGAGGGAGGUGGAAUUCCAGGUGUAGCGGUGAGAUGCGUAGAUAUCUGGAAGAACACCGGUGGCGAAAGCGGCCUCCUGGACGGUGACUGACGCUGAGACGCGAAAGCGUGGGGAGCAAACAGG
rnacentral:rRNA from 1 species